UCAGUAAGAAUAAGGACUCUAACACAAACUAAACCUAAUGAAUAGCAGUCACCUAUUAGUCUGUCCCUCAGUUAUGACUGGGCUGAGGAGAACCACCAUGUCAGUAAUGUCAUUCACCCAGCCUAACCCAGCUUUUUAGCCGAGGUUAAUGGAGCAAACACUCCCUUAACCCGGGCUUCCUGCCCGUGUGUGAGCUCAGUCUGCUUCCAGCGUGGAAGAUUCCUGGGGGAAUCUCCCAAUGCACUGUGCUUGGUGUUUACUGUGCAUUGUGGGAUACCUGGAGGCUGGGAUGCAUGGCUAGCAUUCCCACCAACAUUUUGCAAAUUGUCGGAGCGGGGAGGUGAGUGAAGUGAAGGCUUCCCCUGUCCGGUCGGUUGUGUGAACGACCUCACUGAAUUUCUCCAGCCUGUGUCCUGGCACUGCAAGUUCUAAAGAGCUAUUGAUAUGGGCCCCUAACAGGUUGGCUCCACCCUCCCAGAAAGGUCAAACUACACAAUGUACUGCAGAUGCCAGCGGCAUAGCUAGGGGAGAGGGGGCCUGUGUUCACCCCUCUCCCUGGUGGCCCCUUGGAAUGAGGGAGAUAAUGAAGAAAAUAGGGUGAGGUCUGGCUGGGGGGGCCCUCAGGAGCUGGGGCCCCCCGGGUUCUUUGAACCCAUCCGCUCAGUUAUAGCUACACACCUGGCAGCUAUGUAUAGGCUUUCUUCAUUGCAAAUCACCCUUGGAAGUGGAUACUGUGCCACACGUAAGGUGCUAUGGUUACCCCACCCCCCACCCACUGCUUUCCCCUGCAAUUUCUCUUCUUCCUUCCCCAUCUGCUUUCAGCCCAUCAAUGUACCAGGUCUGUACUUGUGAACUAAAUGUGGGCCUGGGAUUCCAUGUUGGGGAAGCACCUGGGUAGGUAGUGGGCUCACAAGUGCCAGAAAAUCUGAAAUAUUCACCCUCUUCCUGUUUAUUCUGCCCUCUUCUGGCGUGUGGGGGUUGCAACAAAUAAGAGGACUGUGGGCUAAUGUCACCUUAGCUACAGAACACCACACAGCUUGGCCCUAAGUGGCGUGUCAUUGCUCAACAGCUGCAGCUGCAUAUUCUUCAGAUGUAUGGCUGGAUAUACUGGUCUGCUCUGAGCUCCCAUCAAUGAAUGGAAAUGCAGAAUAUAAAAACAGUAAACAACAAAUAAAUCAGUACCUGUGCAAGAAAAGAUAGAAUUAUGAAAAACCGUAAUUACAUAUGAACAUAUAUGGAACUGCCUUAUAUGAAGUCAGAUCAUUGGGCUAUCUAGAAACCUGCAGAAGCUGUUUGAGCAUAGAAAACACUUUCAGGAAUGCCUGUCAGGACCACAAUAAAACUGUACUGA